rnacentral:rRNA from 1 species
UACGUAGGGUGCGAGCGUUAAUCGGAAUUACUGGGCGUAAAGCGUGCGCAGGCGGUUUUUUAAGCCAGAUGUGAAAUCCCCGGGCUUAACCUGGGAAUGGCAUUUGGGACUGCAAGGCUGGAGUGUGGCAGAGGAGACUGGAAUUCCUGGUGUAGCAGUGAAAUGCGUAGAUAUCAGGAGGAAUACCGAUGGCGAAGGCAGGUCUCUGGGCCAUAACUGACGCUGAGAAGCGAAAGCAUGGGGAGCGAACAGG